GCUUACGGUCAUACUACCCUGAAAACGCUCAAUCUCGUCUGAUCUCGGAAGCUAAGCAGGGGUUGGCCAGGUUAGUACUUGGAUGGGAGACCACCUGGGAAUACCAGGUGCUUUAAGCU
ensembl:rRNA 5S_rRNA 5S ribosomal RNA